rnacentral:lncRNA from 1 species
CAGGUGACACCCGCUGGAUGUCUGCCUCUGACUGUCUCUUAAGCAGGCCCCUUGGAACCAAUGUUCUCUAUCCCAUCUGCGAUGGAGAAUCUCUAAUCCGUUAGAUGUGUGCCUUAAAUGCCAGAUUGGCUGACACAUUCCUGUACAAAUGUAAGGGCAAAUUUAUAAUUUUGAAUAUAAAUAAAUAAAAGGGUUAUUCUACUAUCACAUUGUGUACAUUAUGUCUGUGAUAC